GCAGCAGCAAGGAAUCUUGGGCAAUGUGGCGAAAGCCUGACCCAGCAACGCCGCGUGAGGGAUGAAGGCUUUCGGGUUGUAAACCUCUUUUCAUAGGGAAGAAUAAUGACGGUACCUGUGGAAUAAGCUUCGGCUAACUACGUGCCAGCAGCCGCGGUAAUACGUAGGAAGCAAGCGUUAUCCGGAUUUAUUGGGCGUAAAGUGAGCGUAGGUGGUCUUUCAAGUUGGAUGUGAAAUUUCCCGGCUUAACCGGGACGAGUCAUUCAAUACUGUUGGACUAGAGUACAGCAGGAGAAAACGGAAUUCCCGGUGUAGUGGUAAAAUGCGUAGAUAUCGGGAGGAACACCAGAGGCGAAGGCGGUUUUCUAGGUUGUCACUGACACUGAGGCUCGAAAGCGUGGGGAGCGAACAGAAUUAGAUACUCUGGUAGUCCACGCCUUAAACUAU
rnacentral:rRNA from 1 species